rnacentral:ncRNA from 1 species
CCCAAGGGGUCUCGCGACCACCCCGUGAGACUUUGGUCUAAGGUUCGCAUCCACUGACCUUUUCAGAAAGGAUGCCUUAUG